GUCCUAUUCUGUAAAGGCCACGCAGGUUCCAGGCGUUCUGUGUUCCGCAAGACCUUUGGCCAACCCUACCUCGUCGGUGGGCUGCCCAGUCCUUGAGACUCGUUCAUCACCAUCAAGGCGAGAACAUGGCAGCAUCCAGGUGGGCAUGGUGCAAGAGGAGCUGAAAGUUCUACAUCUUCAUUUGAAGGCUGCUAGCAGAAUACUGGCUUCCAGGAAGCUAGGAUGAGAAAGCCCACACUCACAGUGACACAUCUCCUCCAACAAGGUCACGCCUACUCCAACAGAGCCGCAGCCAGCUCCCUGGGCCAAGCAUAGCCAAACCAUAACAUGAGCUUUGCACAGCAGUACCACUAAAGACUGGUGGAUUCUAUGGAGCAUCUGUACAAGAAAUUGAUAAGAAAAUGUUACCUUCAGCCAAACCAUAACAUGAGCUUUGCACAGCAGUACCACUAAAGACUGGUGGAUUCUAUGGAGCAUCUGUACAAGAAAUUGAUAAGAAAAUGUUACCUUCAGAGCUUUCCUAUCCCUUCUGCAGGGGGCUUACAGCUAAUUUGAGGGGAUAGGGUUCCCAGGAUUCUGUGUGUCAUUUGCCACUUGCGAUCAUUUCCCAUGUAUAUGGCAUGCCAGUUCAUAGACUUGUUAUACCUUGUGCCUACUCCUGACUGGUGAACUUUGAAUAGAAUGUGAAUAAGAUAUCGUAUCCAUCUGAGCCCUAGCUAUAACACUGAAAUUGUAUCUUUCUCGAAGUUGCUCAAAGAUUCAGUGUUAGGUUGUAUUUUUCCCAAUGUAAAGUACAGAAGGAGUGAGCAGAGGAUUCAGAUAUGGAUCUGAUUGGUUUGAAAGUAUCGAAUAACUGUUGCACACAGUUUACGCUGGCUAGUUUUCUAUGAAUUUGACACAAGGUAGAGGCAUUUGAGAAGAGGGAACCUCAAUUGAGAAAAUGCUCCUAUCAUAGGUCAAGCAUGUGGAGCAUUUUUGUUUGGUUGGUUGGUUUUGUUUUUCCAAGUCAGGGUUUCUCUGUGUAGCCCUGACUGUCCUGGAACUUGUUCUGUAGACCAGGCUGGCCUCAAACUCACAAAGAUCUGCUUGCCUCUGACUUCUAAGUGCUGGACCUAAAGGCCACCACCUCGCUCCUGCAUUUUCUUGAUUAAUGAUGGAUGGGCAAGCAUCCAGCACAUUGAAGGUAGUGCCACCCAUGGGCUAGUGGUCCUGGAGAGCAUAAGAAAUCAGGUUGAGCAAGCCACAUGAGCAAGCCAGUAAGCAGCACCCCUCCAUGGCCUUUGCUUCAGCUCCUCCCUCCAGGUUCCUGCCUUUAAUUUCUGCCCUGACUUCCCUAGAUGAAGGAUUAUAAACUGUAAAAUGCAAUAAACCUUUUCCUCCCC
ensembl:lincRNA 2810414N06Rik RIKEN cDNA 2810414N06 gene